UUGGAAUAGUGAGGAAAAAUAAACACUAAGUGAAAAUCUCCAAUAUAAAUCUCUUUAUAAGUAUGAACUGCAACAAGCUAAAAAUAUCACCCCAUGAAUUGGUGUCAUAAGUACAAGAGCUUUUAAAAUAUGAUGCAAGUCUGAAACUAAAAUGACAAAUCAAACAUAAGGGAUACCCUGUCUGAAUACUAAAUGACAAAAUAAACAAAAGAUAGAGGAAGGUGUGGGCCACGGAACAACCAAGCAACUCACCACAACUUCAAGACACAUCAAAUUCGGACUCAAAUUGCUCCACGUAUGCUCCCACUCGAAAUCAAAUCUGCACCACAGAAAGUGCAACAAGUGUAGUAUGAGUACGAAAUCACGUGUACCCAGUAUAUCUCAUUGACCAACAACGAAGAAGUAGUGAUGGAAUUUUAUAUAAGAAAAAAAAAGCAAUUCUUUAAUUAUACAAGUCUAUAUUACACUUACCAGUCAAAUUUCAUCAAAUAGAGGUAAACAAACAUCAAGUACUUGCCAACUACCAAAUAAAAUACAUAAUCAUCAAAAAUGAAAGAUGUGAUGAAAUGCAAUGCAAUAUGAUACCAUGAAAUGAUAUGUCUCGGAAUAUUCAACACUCUCUCAACUGUAUAUACAUGAUACUCCUCAGAAAUACAUCGAGAGUUCAUGACCCAUGGGGUACUCGCGAGGUCCAUAUACCGACACAAACGAUUUCCACGUGUCUGUUCGGGCGAUCUCAACGCACUAUCAUAAAAUCAAAAAAAUUUUGCACGGACGAUCUCCACGUGCCCAAAUUAUAAUCUUUACAUCUCACCAUCCCAGCAUGAACGAUCUCCAUAUGCCCAACUUAUACUAAAUCUCAUGUCAAUGCAUGUGCAUAAUAAUAUUUCAAAUAAAGGGAUGAUGAUGCACCUCAUCAGUCAAAUAUCAACAUAAUACAUAACCACCUCAAUUAUCACAACUAUACAGGUGUAAUAAAAUAAACACAAUCACACAAGAAUUUCAAGUCAAUAAUAUAUCAGCUAAUGCCCAUAUGCUUUUGCAUUCUCAAAUUACAAUUCACAUUCUAUAGUGGUAACUUUACCUUUUAUAACACCGAUACUCGUAUCAAUGCCCGUCACACCAUUGAUACGAGACCCCAUCUUUUGCCCUUACCUCUUUGUCUAUUUCAUUUUUUAUCUUUAAUUAGGAAAACGUCCUUCAACAAGUCUGAAGAGUCUUAACAUACCUUAAAUAUCGAACUCGUAUCACAAAUCUUCAAGAUUUUUCCUUUCCUUUUUGCAAAAUUUCGGAACGUUUCCAAUCUACCAAUUGUGCAAUAUUCGUAAAUAAGCGAGUUCAUAGGUACUCAAUUUAUUAUAUGUCUAACCUAAACUGUAAAACUCACUCAUAUCUCCAAUCAAGCUCCUACUCUUGAUAUAUUUUAUAUGUCAAAGAUUCUAUUUGCUAAAAUUCAAGCCUAGUGUUGAGCCUCAACUCCCCAAAAAAGUUAUGAAUCUAGUGAUACUCAUGUAACACAAUACCAUCAAAAUUUGAUUAGCUAUACCCAACCUUCAAAGAGUAUUACUAUAUGACAAUUAAAUAAAUAAAUAAAGAAAUAUAAAGUUUAAGGUCAAUUAAUUUGAAGUAACUUACCGUACGAAAAGUUAAAUAAAAUGAUGACCAUGGAAUAUUCGCAGAUUCCAUAUAUGGAAUCAGGUUCGUUUGCCAAUGAUUUUCUAUCCCCCCCCCCCCCCCCCAAUGAUUAUACCUAAUCCUUAUUUAAUGAUUAAACUUGAUAAUUAAUAUAAACAAUUUCCUCUACUCUAAUCCAACAACCUCAAUGCUUAGGGUAACCUAGUUAAUUAACCUGCUAAUCAUUAGGAAUCAAUUAGAAUAGCAAAUUGCCCAACCCAAAAAAUUUUCCAACAAUACAUACUAUUACUAAUUUUCUCUUGUCAUCAUCAAUCUACGAAUAUUUAUACAAUACAAUAUAACCAAUACUUAAUUCUCUAAUGCCAAGAUACUAAUACUAGUAACUAAAUUUGGUAAAUAAAUAAAUUAAGAACCAAUUUCACUAAUUAACAAAACCAGAAAAUGCACUGUAAAUGUGAUCCUCCAUUUUUUCCCUUCAAUUUUAUUCGGCCAAAAUGCUUAAUUUCUUAAGAAAUAGGCCUAUCAAUUGUCACUAUUAUAAUAAGCAUCAUUAAUGGGUAUUUAAUGCCCCCAAACAAAUAAUUAAAAAGAAUUUCUUUUCGUUCCUUUACAAAGGACUGAAUAGAUCCAAAUUUCAUAUAGACAUCCAACAAAAUAAUCUAAAAUAACAAUUUUAUUUACUUUGAUAACAUACUCAAAUGGAGAAUUGAAAAGUUUGAGAAUAAUUUAUUCACCUGAAGCCGACGGUUUCUUUUCCCCUACACAUUUUGCCAGAAUAUAUUACUGAGGUUAUGCUAAUUACUCAUUUAAUUUGAUCCAGUGUAUGGGCCAAGUGGUAAAAGGGUCUUAAUAAAAU
rnacentral:lncRNA from 1 species